CAGGGAAUAGCUCAGUUGGUAGAGCGUCGGGUUAUCGCCCGAAGGUCAGCGGUUCGACUCCGUUUUCCCCGA
rnacentral:tRNA from 1 species